GAUGAACGCUGGCGGCGUGCCUAAUACAUGCAAGUCGAGCGAACAGACGAGGAGCUUGCUCCUCUGACGUUAGCGGCGGACGGGUGAGUAACACGUGGAUAACCUACCUAUAAGACUGGGAUAACUUCGGGAAACCGGAGCUAAUACCGGAUAAUAUAUUGAACCGCAUGGUUCAAUAGUGAAAGACGGUUUUGCUGUCACUUAUAGAUGGAUCCGCGCCGCAUUAGCUAGUUGGUAAGGUAACGGCUUACCAAGGCAACGAUGCGUAGCCGACCUGAGAGGGUGAUCGGCCACACUGGAACUGAGACACGGUCCAGACUCCUACGGGAGGCAGCAGUAGGGAAUCUUCCGCAAUGGGCGAAAGCCUGACGGAGCAACGCCGCGUGAGUGAUGAAGGUCUUCGGAUCGCAAAACUCUGUUAUUAGGGAAGAUCAAAUGUGUAAGUAACUAUGCACGUCUUGACGGUACCUAAUCAGAAAGCCACGGCUAACUACGUG
rnacentral:rRNA from 1 species